rnacentral:rRNA from 1 species
CCCUUAGAUGCCCUGGGCCGCACGCGCGCUACACUGAUGCAUUCAACGAGUUUUACCUUGGCCGAGAGGCCUGGGCAAUCUUUUAAACCUGCAUCGUGAUAGGGAUAGAUUAUUGCAAUUAUUAAUCUUGAACGAGGAAUUCCUAGUAAACGCAGAUCAUCAAUCUGCAUUGAUUACGUCCCUGCCCUUUGUACACACCGCCCGUCGCACCUACCGAUUGAAUGGUCCGGUGAAGCCUCGGGAUUGUGGCCAGUUCACUUUAUUGGGAGUUGGCUGCGAGAACUUGUCUAAACCUUAUCAUUUAGAGGAAGGUGAAGUCGUAACA